UACGAAGGGGGGGCUAGCGUUGCUCGGAAUCACUGGGCGUAAAGGGUGCGUAGGCGGGUCUUUUAAGUCAGAGGUGAAAUCCUGGAGCUCAACUCCAGAACUGCCUUUGAUACUGAGGAUCUUGAGUACGGGAGAGGUGAGUGGAACUGCGAGUGUAGAGGUGAAAUUCGUAGAUAUUCGCAAGAACACCAGUGGCGAAGGCGGCUCACUGGCCCGUUACUGACGCUGAGGCACGAAAGCGUGGGGAGCAAACAGG
rnacentral:rRNA from 1 species